GGAGUUGUGGCUCAGUGGUAGAGCACUUGCCUAGCAUGUGUGAGGUCCUGGGUUCGAUUCUCAGCACCA
rnacentral:tRNA from 1 species